GCAACUCUCCUGAGAAUCUAAUUUCUUAACCUGGAAUACUUUGUAGACUGUUUUGCUGCAUGCUAUAGUGUAGGCAAUGACUUUAAUAUGUGCUUUAUCAUGCUGACUGUUGUGGUCCAUUACUCGAUAAUUAGGUAUGCUGCUCCGUGAAUCUUAGCUGAGUUAAUAUUAUUGUAUCGCAUUGUUGGACUUUCUUUGGUUCA
rnacentral:misc_RNA from 1 species